AUUGAACGCUGGCGGCAUGCCUUACGCAUGCAAGUCGAACGGCAGCACGGGGCAACCUGGUGGCGAGUGGCGAACGGGUGAGUAAUGCAUCGGAACGUACCCUUCAGUGGGGGAUAACGUAGCGAAAGUUACGCUAAUACCGCAUAUUCUGUGAGCAGGAAAGCAGGGGAUCGCAAGACCUUGCGCUGAUUGAGCGGCCGAUGUCAGAUUAGCUAGUUGGUGAGGUAAAGGCUCACCAAGGCGACGAUCUGUAGCGGGUCUGAGAGGAUGAUCCGCCACACUGGAACUGAGACACGGUCCAGACUCCUACGGGAGGCAGCAGUGGGGAAUUUUGGACAAUGGGGGCAACCCUGAUCCAGCCAUGCCGCGUGAGUGAAGAAGGCCUUCGGGUUGUAAAGCUCUUUCGGCCGGGAAGAAAUCGCACGGGCUAAUACCCUGUGUGGAUGACGGUACCGGAAUAAGAAGCACCGGCUAACUACGUGCCAGCAGCCGCAGUAACAC
rnacentral:rRNA from 1 species